AGGGAAAGGGAAAUCUGUAAACACUGGCCGUUGAAGAAUACGGUUUCUGAGAAUUUCCACUCUGAAUUCACAUUCCGUUCAGUGUUAUCGCCACCCUGUGGAUUUCUUGGCUACCUCGCUGGCUUUGAGCACAACCCAGGAAGAAGUUUGAAACCAAGAAAAUGGUGGUUGGGAAGACCAGGAUGCGCAAUGGCAAGUGCUGACAACUCUGGAAUACACAGUAGGCACCCAAUACAUACAAGGGAGUAAAUGAAUGAAUUAAAGCUGUCUGUAUCUGCUGAUCAUCCACAAUUUAGACGUCCUAUACUACAUUCCAAUUGAGGGCAAGCGGGGUACGUGUCCUGAAUUUAUAGAAUCUUUUGACACAAAGCAAGAGAGCCACAGUCAAGACUCAAGUCAAAAGAAAUUUAGACCCCAUCUGGGCAAACAGGCCUCUAAGCAACAAUCUAAGAUUUCCACCUAUUGUUCUGGCAUUCCUUGUAUAAAUGAUUAUGACUGCAGAGAUCUUAGGAAGUGCUGUGGUACCUUUAGAUGUGGCCUGAGGUGCAUACAUCCUCUUAUGAUUGGCCCUGUAUUUUUCAAUUCACCUCCACAAUCCAAGGCAUAAAUAUUGGAUGGAGAAAUGGAUUCAGAUGGAGGCAUCAUUGAGCUUAUUCUUGACUCAUCUCAGUCCAAACAUUACUCUGUCAAUCGUUGUUCUUAAAAUCUGCAUAUUAAAAGCUCAGCAUCAACUA
rnacentral:lncRNA from 1 species